rnacentral:lncRNA from 1 species
GCCCAAAUACUCCAGUUUGGGGAUGUGGAGUCCAGUACUUGUCUGAUUGUGCUUCCUCGAUUAUUUCAUUGGGUACCGAUGACAAAUAUUCCUCUGGAUUCUUGUCAUACACCGAUGACAUGUGGACUGCCCUCCUGCACGACAUAUAUAUAGGAAUCCAACCUAAUUAGAAGGCUUCCAAAAAAUAGAAAGCAUCAUGAAUAGCUACGAAAUUCAUAGCGAAUCUUGUCAUUUAUCUACAAUGAAAGAUCAUGUUCGUCUUGGCUAAUUCCUUUUUUCUAUAGAGUUGAUCCCACCUAGUAUUAAUUCAGCUACCAAAAUAUACAUAUAGCUCCUCUAUUAUUUCACGCCUUUACUGCGGCUUCUUGCAUGAAAAAGGCAAGAACAACGAAUUAACAUGCAGGAAGAAAUCAUAAAAGGAUAAAAAAACGUCGUACUAAAGAUCUCGAGAGAGUUAUGGGUUCAGCUAUACAUGUUCAGAACUCAUAAAUCCAAAAUUCUUCUUCCACCGCCUCUGUAAUUAAAGUAGUAUACCUGCCAGUAGAUGAGUUAGCAGAAUUUCGAGCGAUAUGGUUCAUAAUUAAUCGCUUCCCCAAGGCCAAGCUCACAAGUCCACGUUUCUGUAAGUUAGCGGCCAUGAAAAUACAGAUGGAUUCUUACACAGUGAGCAAAUGAGCUAACAAGAAG